UGGGGAAUAUUGGACAAUGGGGGCAACCCUGAUCCAGCAAUGCCGCGUGUGUGAAGAAGGCCUUCGGGUUGUAAAGCACUUUUAUCGGGAACGAAACAUUGUCGGCCAAUACCCGGCAAGCCUGACGGUACCCGAGGAAUAAGCACCGGCUAACUCCGUGCCAGCAGCCGCGGUAAUACGGAGGGUGCAGGCGUUAAUCGGAAUUACUGGGCGUAAAGCGUGCGCAGGCGGUUUGUUAAGUCUGCUGUGAAAUCCCCGAGCUCAACUUGGGAAUUGCAGUGGAAACUGGCAAGCUGGAGUACGGUAGAGGAAGGUGGAAUUCCCGGUGUAGCAGUGAAAUGCGUAGAGAUCGGGAGGAACACCAGUGGCGAAGGCGGCCUUCUGGACCAGUACUGACGCUCAUGCACGAAAGCGUGGGGAGCAAACA
rnacentral:rRNA from 1 species